rnacentral:tRNA from 1 species
AAGAUAUUAGUCUAAACAAAACAUUUGACUUCGACUCAAAAAACUAUGGUGUAACCCCAUAAUAUCUUC